GGACAACCGGGCGAGCGAGGAUGGAGGCGACAUGUCAGGCGCAGGCGCUGUGAGUGGGUCAAGUAGGCUUGGUGGCGACGCAUGAACGCCGCAGAGAGUACGAGAGUGGGCGACAAGAUCUAAUUUCCUAAUUCUAUACCUUUUGAGUUGGAAUUUAUGAAAAAGAACGUAAAGUGAAGAAGGAAGAAGGCGCGUGCUUCAUUGACUCGUUCUCUUCAUUUAUGCUUCCCACCUAACUUUUUUUAUCUUCACUUCCCUUUUCAGUAUCUUCUUCUUCCACACCUUCACCCCUUCCCCUUCAAUCACCGUUCACUUAAAAAAAUGGAGAAUUCCACUCAAGAAUCCAAUCUCCGAUCCGAUAAUUCCGUCACAUAUGAUUCCCCUUAUCCUCUUUACGCCAUGGCCUUCUCUUCAAACCCCAACUCCCAACAACAACAACGCAUCGCCGUUGGAAGUUUCAUCGAAGAAUACACUAACCGCAUCGAUAUCCUCUCUUUCAACCCUGAUACCCUCUCCAUUAAACCUCAACCUUCACUUUCCUUCGAUCACCCUUACCCACCCACAAAACUCAUGUUCCAUCCCUCCACCCAUUCCUCCCUCCUCAAAACCUCCUCCGACCUUCUUGCUACCUCCGGCGACUAUCUCCGUCUUUGGGAAGUUCGCGAAAAUUCCGUCGAAGCUCUUUCUCUUUUCAACAAUAGCAAAACCAGUGAAUUUUGCGCUCCAUUGACAUCCUUUGAUUGGAACGACAUUGAACCUAAACGCAUCGGAACUUCCAGCAUCGACACUACUUGCACUAUCUGGGACAUUGAAAGAGGCGUCGUUGAAACGCAGCUUAUUGCACAUGAUAAAGAGGUUUACGACAUUGCUUGGGGGGAAUCUAGGGUUUUCGCUUCUGUUUCCGCUGAUGGGUCUGUUAGGAUUUUUGACCUAAGGGACAAGGAGCAUUCAACGAUUAUCUACGAGAGUCCUCAACCAGACACCCCUUUGCUUCGUUUAGCUUGGAACAAGAAGGAUUUGAGGUAUAUGGCAACAAUUUUGAUGGAUAGUAAUAAAGUUGUGAUUUUGGAUAUUAGAUCACCCACUACACCAGUGGCUGAAUUGGAGAGACACCGUGCCGGUGUUAACGCUAUUGCUUGGGCUCCAAGAAGUUCUAGGCAUAUUUGUUCAGCUGGGGAUGAUACACAAGCUCUUAUUUGGGAGUUGCCUACUGUGGCUGGUCCUAAUGGGAUUGAUCCAAUGUCUAUGUAUUCUUCUGGUUAUGAAAUUAACCAGCUUCAGUGGUCUGCUGCUCAGCCUGAUUGGAUUGCUAUUGCUUUUGCUAAUAAGAUGCAGCUUUUGAGGGUUUGAAUUUAAGAUAUCCUAGCAUUGGUAAUGAAGUUCUUAAAUACUUGGCAUAAAUGAUGAAUCACUUUCCCCUGUACGACUAAAGAAUAGUGUUUCCUUCAUAGAAAUAUAUCUCGAAGGAUGUCUGCAUAGCUAAAGAAUUACCGCUCAUCUUUAUAUUUUCCACGUCAAGGACAUAGAAAAAUUGACUGAUUUACUGAUAGUACUUAGCAGGGUUGUGCACUGGCAAGUUUUCUUAGAAACAAAGUUAAAGCCAUAAACUCGUUUGAAGCAAUCCCAGGAGAAAUUUUAGUAGUUUUUGAAGAUUGAUUGGUUGGUGUAUAGAAAAAAGGUUAUUGCUUGUUGUUUUUGAAAGGAAGCUUCUGCUUAUGGAACGAAUUCUCUACGGAGAGUUGGCAAAGACAACGUCUAAACGAAAAACAAUAGUACAAAGAAAAAUGACAAAUUGAAUGGGCUUUGGAGACUAUUAUCAGAAAAUGUUACUAGUGUAUUUAGAUUGACGUUUAAACUCAGGAUAUCGUUUUUCAAUGCAAAUUAGACUUGAUUUUAUGAAGCUACAAGUUACAACUUUCAUAUAAA